AACGUAGGUACCUAGCGUUAUCCGGAUUUACUGGGCGUAAAGCGCGUUCAGGCGGUUUGGCGAGUCGGGCAUGAAAUCUCUCGGCUCAACCGGGAGAGGUUGUCCGAUACUGCUGGACUUGAGGGCAGUAGAGGGUGGUGGAAUUCCGGGUGUAGUGGUGAAAUGCGUAGAUAUCCGGAGGAACACCAGUGGCGAAAGCGGCCACCUGGACUGCACCUGACGCUGACACGCGAAAGCUAGGGGAGCGAACGGG
rnacentral:rRNA from 1 species